GUCGACCAGUCUAUUAAUAGAAACUGAUUGAAGAUUUUGUUUCAAAAGAAACAGAAGACCACAGCAAUUUUCAAAGCAAUAGAGAUACCAUGCUGUUAUCUUCAGCAAUGUGCAUUCACAUGCAGACCUGCUAAGGAUUGAUGAUUUACCCUCAUUUACAUUAUCUUGUCUACUUGGAACGUACUAAACAUCGCCACAAGAAGAACAAA